ensembl:lncRNA
GGUGUGUUUGCCCUCGACUGUGUUCGGUGAGUUAAGAACCGAAAACACACUCCUCACUCAUUGGAUGACUUCAAGCCUGAGCUGAUACAGCGAGUUCGGUGGAAAUGAAGAGAGAGGUCGCAAUCCGUUGCCUGAAGGUGUAUCUGAAAGAGAAGGAAGAGGAUCUCUUCAGAGAACAGCUGGAUGGUGAACAACAGUUCCCAGAAGAAGUGGUAAAGAUUGUAGUCACCAGACGUGCAGCAGUGUCUCUCAAAGCUGUCGCUAAAAUUGUGAUUGAAGGAACAGCAGUCCUGGAAGACCUUGAUGUGCCCAGAGUGUGUGCCUUAAUGAUGGGGCUUAUAUACACUCUCAAUCUGAGCUACCCAAAACAAGUAAAGAACACUCUAGAGGUAUUUCUGGAACUUGAUGGGCUUAAACCAGUCCACGGGUAAUGUCUGUUAAGUGCAAACUUCUGUCAUGAAACGAAUGUGAAUUGGACUGUAGUAUUCCGAUGUGCCUCUUACGUUUUUGUAUGCAGUCCCAGAUGAGUGUAGUUUUGAGAAAAGUUUGUAAUACAUAUAAUCUUAGCUUUGGAUUGUUCUGUUGUUGAACAUUAAAAUCUUUUGUCAUUUCCUUGAUUCUGCGACAAGUUGAACAAGUUGAUACCAAUUUAUGUUAAUGUUAAUGUACAUGAAGUACUUUUUUUUUUUUAGUCAUUUAUAAUUAAAGGGCUGCUGUAAUGUUUCAUUUAUGUUGUAUUGACACAGAAGUGUAUUACUUUGAAAAUGUUUUGUAAUAAAAUAAUCAAUUGGAAUAAGUGAAAUGGCUUUGUGUGAUUUUUAGAAAAGCUACUAUAGAAACCUAAACUAAUUGGCAUGGAUAAUUGUGAGUAGGAUAUAUGUAAAAAAGUUCGUUGGUGUAACUCAACUAAUGUAAUUUCUCA